rnacentral:rRNA from 1 species
CUAAGUUUGAUGGCGACCGGCGCACGGGUGAGUAACACGUAUCCAACCUGCCGAUGACUCGGGGAUAGCCUUUCGAAAGGAAGAUUAAUACCCGAUGGCAUAGUUCUUCCGCAUGGUAGAACUAUUAAAGAAUUUCGGUCAUCGAUGGGGAUGCGUUCCAUUAGGUUGUUGGCGGGGUAACGGCCCACCAAGCCUUCGAUGGAUAGGGGUUCUGAGAGGAAGGUCCCCCACAUUGGAACUGAGACACGGUCCAAACUCCUACGGGAGGCAGCAUG